rnacentral:rRNA from 1 species
UUCAGAUUGCAGGCUGCAACCCGCCUGCAUGAAGUCGGAAUUGCUAGUAAUCGCGGAUCAGCAUGCCGCGGUGAAUACGUUCCCGGGCCUUGUACACACCGCCCGUCACACCAUGGGAGCCGGUAAUACCCGAAGUCAGUAGUCCAACCUCGUGAGGACGCUGCCGAAGGUAGGAUUGGCGACUGGGGUGAAGUCGUAACAAGGUAAC